rnacentral:rRNA from 1 species
GAGGCAAUAACAGGUCUGUGAUGCCCUUAGAUGUUCUGGGCCGCACGCGCGCUACACUGACUGGUUCAACGAGUUGUUUACUGUCCUUUGCUUCGAGAGGCAUGGGUAAUCUGUGAACGCCAGUCGUGCUGGGGAUAGAUUCUUGGAAUUAAAAUCUUCAACGAGGAAUUCCUAGUAAACGCAAGUCAUCAGCUUGCAUUGAUUACGUCCCUGCCCUUUGUACACACCGCCCGUCGCACCUACCGAUUGAAUGACUCGGUGAAAUCUACGGACUACAGCCUACCAGCCCUCGGGCAGGAGGUCGUGGGAAGUAAAUUAAACCUCGCCAUUUAGAGGAAGGUGAAGUCGUAACAAGGUUUCCGUAGGAACCUGCGGAAGGAUCAUU